AUACGGAGGAUCCGAGCGUUAUCCGGAUUUAUUGGGUUUAAAGGGUGCGCAGGCGGCCAUUUAAGUCAGCGGUUAAAUCGUGGGGCUCAACCCCAUUCUGCCGUUGAUACUGGGUGGCUUGAUUGCGGUCGAGGUUGGCGGAAUUCGUUGUGUAGCGGUGAAAUGCAUAGAUAUGACGAAGAACACCGAUUGCGUAGGCAGCUGACCAGACCGCAAAUGACGCUCAUGCACGAAAGUGCGGGGAUCGAACAGGAUUAGAUACCCUGGUAGUCCGCACAGUAAACGAUGAAUACUUGUUUUCGGCGAUAUAAUGUCGGAGGGAAAGCGAAAGCGAUAAGUAUUCCACCUGGGGAGUACGCCGGCAACGGUGAAACUCAAAUGAAUUGACGGGG
rnacentral:rRNA from 1 species